GGACGCGCCCGCAGCCCCGCCCUGGGCGGCCGGGUGGAAUCCCUCCCAGCUGGGCAGGAAGGCAGUUGUUUGCUUCCUGGUGGAACGUUCCACUUGAGACGGUUCCACGAGGGCUGUUCUCGCCUCCGACUCCGGGAAGAACUGUAAUUAACACAGCAACAAACGCCCACGACGCUAACUGGCAAAGGGAGUGUAACACGAGCCCGCUGCUCCAACCGAAUUGGGCCAAUUGCUUUCCCUUCUUUGCCUCCCCAUUUGGUCUGUUUUGGUUCCGCACUCAUCCAACUGGAGCGUUUCUUAAAACAUGUCAGUGGCUGGUGUUUGUGUUUUGAGUUGAACGGUUUCACACCCGUCGCUGGAGAUGGGGCUCGGCAGGCUGCUGGGCUGGGGACUUGCUUUCUGCGAGCGUCGCGAGCGUCAGGUAGAAAAGUUCAGAGAGAGGCUAGAAGGAUGCGAGGGAGGAGGAGACAGCGGGGCCUCACCGCCUCCAAUUGUCUGGAGUUGGUUCUGUCUCCUUCCGACCAAGACAAGUAGAACCGGUCUGCCAGCUCUCCAACCGGAGAGGGUGGGGCGUCCCAACGCACCUGGCAGCCACUCUGGGCCUCGGGGACGCCGCACAUGGGCGGUUGAGGAAGGAACCCGGGGCGGACUCUCGAGUGGGAGGGAGGGGGUUCUGCAAACAGCACUCAGGUCUACAGGCUUGCCCUGCAGGGGCUGCGGUGGCCAGGGUCCAGAGACUGUUAUGACUCUUUGAUCUGUGUGUAAGGAUCUGAGUUGUGAUGCUUUGGUUUUAUUUAACUUUGCAUCUGCCAAGUAUGGUCCACUGCCCAGCAGCUUCUUGAGAACUGGUUUCAGACAGAAUCCCCACGCUGGCUAUAGACCCCUUUUCCUGGCUUCAGGCUCCUUUAACAAGAUUCUUUGAUCAGCGACCUCUCCUGUCAGCUUACUUGGUUCAACAGUUGACGAAAAGCAUCUGGAGCUGGGGCGCAGAACGCCUAGCAUGCAUGAAGCCUCAAGUUUGACGAUCCCCACCACAGCUUAAACCCGGUGUAGUAGCCUAGCUACUCCCAUAAUCCCAGCACACCGGACAGAAUUGGAAGCUGGAAGAUCCAAAGUUCAAGGUCUCUGGCCGCACACUAUAUCUUAUUGAAUUUUUCAUUUGAGGAAAGCACCAGUUGGGGAAGCCAAACAUGAGCUAUUACAAAAUUCUGCAAGCAAAAUCAACCUAAAGGCUUACACUGCAGUGAUUCCAGCAGCAAGGACAUACAAAUCCAAUCCAUCAACACUGCCCCGGUCUCCCUUCUGUACUUUUGAUGAGUGCUUGUCUGACUUCACUUAAGAAUCCAAACCAGAGCCUUCCAUGACUCCAUUCUCAAGUGAUUCUACUCCUAACUGAAAGGCUUCUGAGCAGAGCAGUAGAACUGGAGAUCCCUCCCUUUGCCAGAAUUCUGAGAGCAGUGCCAUUCCGUCACCAUGAACUUGCCUUCUGUGGGCAACCCAGCAUACCGAGCACCAUUUGUGGAGACCAUGAAGGAGCUUGUGACUGGCUCAAGUCCCAGGAGUGGUGAACAGCAGAAAUCAGCAGCUGCACACUAGGGCCACGGAGGGUGGACAGCUCCGCCUUUCUCCUCCGUGGCACCCAGAGCGGCCACGUGGGUGCCAGUUACCCACACCCUUAUUUAUGUCUUCCUUCUCAGUAAGCUCUGCAAACCAAGAUCGCUAAAAGUUGCCGUUAAGGCAAGGGUGAAGGUCCAUCCACCUACUCCAGGGGUUGAUGCGGACUCACUGUGACAUGGGGCACUGGGAAAGGGACAAGGUGCUGCUGGAAGUCCGUCACCACCAUCACUGUCUUAAUCUUCGGGGAUAUUUAUUCUUCACCAGCCUGGCAAUAAUAAUGACAGCUAACAGUUGAUUGGAUAACAUACCCGGAGUUACUUAAAUCUCAAUGCUCAUAACACCACCUUCAAGUAGACAUUAUUCCACUGUUCACGGACCAUAAAACGCAGGCAUGAAGAGAUUAAGUAACUAACUGACUAGGAUGGAAACCUCAUUUCUCUGACCUCGGAGCCUAUUCAUCUAACCGUAUCUUAAUUAAAUAUACACAGUGUCUUUGCCGAGGUUCCUCAGAAAGCAGGGCGGCGGGCAGAAGGCGAUACUGUUUAACUAGGAAGUGUAACCCCAGGGAAGAGCGGUGAUGGGAUGGGACAGGAAAGCGGCGGGGAUGGGACAGGGAAGUAAGGAGAGCAGGCAUAGGUUCGGUAUGGUAGGAGCCACCGCUGACUGCUAUUGAAGCCACUUCAACCGCCGCGUCUCUGUGGAGUGGAGGCAGCCGGGUUGAUUGGAAGGUUCCUGCCCUCUGCUUCUCAGGCACUCACCCCUCCACACGCCCUCAGGUUGUCCAUAGGUGCAUAUUAACCCACUGGAGUCCAUUGGUGGAGAUGAGAGGUGUGUGCCAGGGCCGAGGAUGAAAGUAUCUGAUACUUAAAACGAGGCGCCUUGUCGGGGCGGGGCAUGUGAAGUAUGAGGAUCUCAGGUAAGGAUUUUCUGUUUUGCCUCAUAUGUGAACUAAGAAAGAACACCUAAAAAGGAGAAGAGGGACUACUAAGUAAGGAGAAGAGACCAUCAGGAGGAGUUAGCAGGGGAAUGAGAGGGAAGGGAGGAGGGGAAAAGAGUGGAGGAAAGAGGGUGGACAUGAUAAAAUUAUGAUACAUACAUGUAUGGAAAUGUCACAGGGGAGGCCAUUACUUUGCAUAGUCAAUAUGCAUUAAUAAUUGUAAUUUUAAAAGCUGGGGAAAAUGCAAAUUUGAGGAGAAAUUUGUACCAAAUGACCACAGUGAUUGAACCACAGAGCACUUCAGCUGGAUUUCACUGAACGGAUGGCUUGUGACUUCUUCCAAAAAUAUUGACUCUGAGGGUUCACAAGUGACCUCCAACUUAUUGUUUUCCAGACACAAGAUGAGUAACUUCAGAUAGCAUAGGGUCAUAGUGAAGAUUAAUGUGGUAACCACAGUAUGAUUAAUUGAAUACCUCUGUGACACUUGUAAUUCAGUUGUAAUUCAGUUAACUUUCUCAAUAAAAUUUGUAGUUCAAAAACAGAA